GCCAGGCAUGUUGGCAGACGCCUGUAAUCCCAGCUACUCGGGAGGCUGAGGCAGGAGAAUCGCUUGAACCCGGGAGGUGUAGGUUGCAGUGAGCCGAGAUCGAGCCACUGCACUCAAUCCUGGGUAACAAAGCGAGACUCUGUCUCCA
rnacentral:SRP_RNA from 1 species